UCCGAUGGUGAACCUGCGGAGGGAUCAUUACCGAGUUUACAACUCCCAAACCCCAAUGUGAACGUUACCAAUCUGUUGCCUCGGCGGGAUUCUCUGCCCCGGGCGCGUCGCAGCCCCGGAUCCCAUGGCGCCCGCCGGAGGACCAACUCAAACUCUUUUUUCUCUCCGUCGCGGCUUCCGUCGCGGCUCUGUUUUACCUUUGCUCUGAGCCUUUCUCGGCGACCCUAGCGGGCGUCUCGAAAAUGAAUCAAAACUUUCAACAACGGAUCUCUUGGUUCUGGCAUCGAUGAAGAACGCAGCGAAAUGCGAUAAGUAAUGUGAAUUGCAGAAUUCAGUGAAUCAUCGAAUCUUUGAACGCACAUUGCGCCCGCCAGUAUUCUGGCGGGCAUGCCUGUCCGAGCGUCAUUUCAACCCUCGAACCCCUCCGGGGGGUCGGCGUUGGGGAUCGGCCCCUCACCGGGCCGCCCCCGAAAUACAGUGGCGGUCUCGCCGCAGCCUCUCCUGCGCAGUAGUUUGCACACUCGCACCGGGAGCGCGGCGCGGCCACAGCCGUAAAACACCCCAAACUCUGAAAUGUUGACCUCGGAUCAGGUAGGAAUACCCGCUGAACUUAAGCAUAUCAAUAAGCGGAGGA
rnacentral:rRNA from 1 species